rnacentral:rRNA from 1 species
UCCCAGACUCCUACGGGAGGCAGCAGUAGGGAAUCUUUCACAAUGGGCGAAAGCCUGAUGGAGCAACGCCGCCUGCAGGAUGAAGGCCUUCGGGUUGUAAACUGCUUUUAUAAGCGAGAAAUAUGAUGGUAACUUAUGAAUAAGGAUCGGCUAACUACGUGCCAGCAGCCGCGGUAAUACGUAGGGGGCAAGCGUUAUCCGGAAUUACUGGGUGUAAAGGGUGAGUAGGCGGCAUGGUAAGCCAGAUGUGAAAGCCUUGGGCUUAACCCGAGGAUUGCAUUUGGAACUAUCAAGCUAGAGUACAGGAGAGGAAAGCGGAAUUCCUAGUGUAGCGGUGAAAUGCGUAGAUAUUAGGAAGAACACCAGUGGCGAAGGCGGCUUUCUGGACUGAAACUGACGCUGAGGCACGAAAGCGUGGGGAGCGAACAGGAUUAGAUACCCUUGUAC